AGGAGACCCAUGUGCAUUUCCUCUGUUCUGUGCUCGCUACGCCCUUGUGCCUUUAGUUGAAGUAUAGGUCGUCGAUUCAAUCUAUCUUGAUGGGAUUUUUCUAGUAGGUAGCGAGAAGACUAGUAGUAUCGACAAGGGGCUACAUCAAUAGCUGAAACUUUUUUUCGGGUAGGGUAGGCUUGGAGUCAGAAGUCCUAUUCUUCCCAACCAAAUAAGCACUUUUGCAAAGUUCACCUUCCCGCGGUCAAAACAAGACUUACGGAUAACAAUCAGACCUUACCAGGGACAGGGACCAGACUAUAGAGCCUAAUUAAAAAGAAUUCGGGCUUGCUUUUUCAAUUCACAUCGAUUCCUCUAUCUCUUGCUCGCUU
rnacentral:lncRNA from 1 species